AGCAGCCGCGGUAAUUCCAGCUCCAAUAGCGUAUAUUAAAGUUGUUGCAGUUAAAAAGCUCGUAGUUGAAUUUCGGGAUUGACGUGACGGUCGUGCCUUAAGGGGUAUGAACUGUCGCAGUUGAUUUCUCACCUUCUGGAGAAGCUUGAUGUCCUUAAUUGGGUGUCAUGUGGAACUAGGACCUUUACCUUGAAAAAAUUAGAGUGUUUAAAGCAGGCAUUUUGCUCGAAUACAUUAGCAUGGAAUAAUAGAAUAGGACGGCAUGGUUCUAUUUUGUUGGUUUCUAGGAUCACCGUAAUGAUUAAUAGGGAUAGUUGGGGGCAUUAGUAUCCAAUUGUCAGAGGUGAAAUUCUUGGAUUUAUUGAAGACUAACUACUGCGAAAGCAUUUGCCAAGGAUGUUUUCAUUAAUCAAGAACGAAAGUUAGGGGAUCGAAGACGAUCAGAUACCG
rnacentral:rRNA from 1 species